rnacentral:lncRNA from 1 species
AAAGACCUGGUGAAAUUCCUAGAAAGACAUGUCAGAAUAAUAUCAGACCCCCUGUAUGGUGACAUAAGUGACUUAACAACCUUUAAUUCAUUCAUUCCAGAGGCUAAUAGGCCAAAGUCCGAUCAAGGGAAUAGGAUCAACGCAAACAGCUUUGCUACAAACAUUGCAUCCAUGGAAUCAAUGGAGAAUAAUGGAGAAUGGAGGAAUGCGUCACAAGGACUUGACUCUACAGUGGAGCUAGGUUGCAUGUGUUGCACUCAAGGCCACUCAUUGCAGCAAUGCCAACAGUUCAAACCGAUGAAACACAGAGACAAGCUAAGCUUUCUUAAAGAGAAAGAACUCUGCUUUGGCUGCCUAUGCGCAGGGCACUGGAGUCGGAACUGUGAGGGGCGGUUGACCUGUAAGACUUGCGGACAGAGGCAUCCCACUGUACUUCACAUCGACAGGAGAGAGACAGCCAGUGCACCUACAGAACCCGCCAAGGAGUCAGAGGCCCAAGUGAUUACAGCAUCCCCGAAAACUUGUGAUCAUACAGGGGCCGGAAGGGAUCGUUGCCUGCUUCCCAUCCUGCCAGUCCAAGUCAAGUCCAUUAAGGGAGACAAAGUAAUUCAAACGUAUGCCUUCCUAGAUCCUGGAAGCUCCGCAACAUUUUGCUCAGAGCAGCUCAUGCGAAGGCUCAACCUUGCUGGAAGACCAACUCGUCUUCUCCUAGAAACCAUGGGACAGGAAAGAGUGGUGCCAGCAUACUCAGUCUCAGGCUUGGAGGUGUCUGGAAUCAAUGACAACCUUUUCUAUAAACUCCCAGAAACCUUCACACAGAAGAAAAUGCUGGUAAAUUCAGAUAACCUGUUGAAGGAAGGAGAUUUGGCAAAAUGGGCUUACCUAGCAAAAAUUAAAAUCCCCAGCAUAAUGGCUAAUGUUGACCUGUUGAUUGGAAGCAAUGCACCGAAAAUGUUGGAGCCCUGGGAGGUUGUCAACAGCAGAGGCGAUGGCCCAUAUGCUAUGAAAACAGCCCUAGGUUGGGUUAUUACUGGUCCUUUGCAUGGAAACAACAGCAGUUCCGGAGAAGAGUGUACAUCAGCCAUGGUU